GAACGCGAAGAACCUUACCUGGGUUUGACAUGGAUCGGGAGUGCUCAGAGAUGGGUGUGCCUCUUUUGGGGUCGGUUCACAGGUGGUGCAUGGCUGUCGUCAGCUCGUGUCGUGAGAUGUUGGGUUAAGUCCCGCAACGAGCGCAACCCUUGUUCACUGUUGCCAGCACGUUAUGGUGGGGACUCAGUGGAGACCGCCGGGGUCAACUCGGAGGAAGGUGGGGAUGACGUCAAGUCAUCAUGCCCCUUAUGUCCAGGGCUUCACGCAUGCUACAAUGGCUGGUACAGAGAGUGGCGAGCCUGUGAGGGUGAGCGAAUCUCGGAAAGCCGGUCUCAGUUCGGAUUGGGGUCUGCAACUCGACCUCAUGAAGUCGGAGUCGCUAGUAAUCGCAGAUCAGCAACGCUGCGGUGAAUACGUUCCCGGGUCUUGUACACACC
rnacentral:rRNA from 1 species